AUGAAAAAUGGAUUAGAGGCCCUCGCUUGGAGUGGUGGAGUUGUAUUUGGGCUAAAUCGAUUCCUCCAUACAAGUCUUCUUUGGUUUGGCGGUUGCUUCAUUGAAACUCGCCAACAAAUGAGCAAUGAAAAUAAUGAAAGUUAUCAUUUUCGUCACGUUGUGUUCUUUGUAAGAGGACGAAGGUAUUGUGGCUCAUCGGGGUCUGAGCAAGGUGUGCAUGAUUUUAUGCUCCUUACAAGUCUUAAGAAGUUCUGA